AACGAACGCUGGCGGCAGGCUUAACACAUGCAAGUCGAACGCAUCCUUCGGGGUGAGUGGCAGACGGGUGAGUAACGCGUGGGAACAUGCCCUUCAGUUCGGGAUAACCCAGGGAAACUUGGGCUAAUACCGGAUACGUGCGAGAGCAGAAAGAUUUAUCGCUGAAGGAGUGGCCCGCGUCUGAUUAGCUAGUUGGUGAGGUAAAGGCUCACCAAGGCGACGAUCAGUAGCUGGUCUGAGAGGAUGAUCAGCCACACUGGGACUGAGACACGGCCACGACUCCUACGGGAGGCAGCAGUGGGGAAUAUUGGACAAUGGGCGCAAGCCUGAUCCAGCCAUGCCGCGUGAGUGAUGAAGGCCUUAGGGUUGUAAAGCUCGUCCGGCGGGGACGAUAAUGACGGUACCCGCAGAAGAAGCCCCGGCUAACUUCGUGCCAGCAGCCGCGGUAA
rnacentral:rRNA from 1 species